CAACAUUCGGCAGUGAGCCUGAGUAUCGCUGGCUCUAGGAGCCUUGAGAAUCUCUGUCCAAAGCUCUGACAGGACUGACAGAAUUUUAGAUCAGCUGACCAAGGAAAAAUGAGAAGUCUCAAAGAUUUUCUCAGCGCCAGAUGAGAAGAGACUAGAAAGAACAUAUAGAAGCUGCAGCUGCCUGCGUUGGUUGAGAGGACGUCCUGCCAUCCCUCAGCUGAGUGGACACUUAGGGACAUUCUUAUGGUGCUUCCGAGGGAGGUGAGUCUCCUAAGAGAGUCGUCCAUGGGAAGGCUCACCAGAGGAAGGAGUGUGGCUGCCGUGGCUUGGCACUGUAUCCACAAGUUUCAGAGGUUGGACUGCAUAGGGCAACAGCAGAGCACUUGCCUAACACAUCCAGACUGGAGGGAAGAAGAGGGGAGUACUGAGAAUUGAACCCCAAAGCAUUGUGCAUGCUAGGCAAUGUCCUACCACUGCGUUACAUCUCCAGCGAUCAAUGAUGGUGUUAGGAAAAUCUCUCAGACCUUCUGGGUCAGACAGGCAAAGGCUGAUGCUGCCCAGUGUGGUAGCUGAGGAUCAAGAUCCUGCAUGACAGCUGAAGACAACUGCUUCUACCCCCAAGAAAGCCAGCAAGAUGGUGGCAGCCUAGGGUAACCACCCAGCUACAGCAAGUCCUCCCUUUCCUGAGUUUAGGCCACUUGGAUUACACUUCCUGCUAUAAUGUAUCCUUCUCAGAUCUCUGAUGAUUUUGACCGGCUAACUGUAUCCUUUAAAGCAGCCUGGGUACCAGCUCCUUCCCGGAGGCUGCAGUUAACCUUGAUAGUUCAUUUGAAUCAGGCCUCAGGCUUCAUUUUUCUAGAGCUGCUAGGACUCCUAGAAAUAGGCAGAUGCUCUCUACUGAUAAAGAUAAACUGUGUUUCAAAGUAACUAUUUACUAUCAAUUUACUUAAAGAAGCUUGCCUUACUCUUUUCCGUCUUCCUCUCGGAGAGGCAGCUUUGCUUCUGCCUCUCUCCCCACUUCUCUGCUUCCCCCCUUCUCUGUCUCUUUCUCCUCCUCCUCCUCCUCCUCCUCC